rnacentral:rRNA from 1 species
CCUACGGGAGGCAGCAGUGGGGAAUCUUGCGCAAUGGGCGAAAGCCUGACGCAGCAACGCCGCGUGCGGGAAGAAGGCUUUCGGGCUGUAAACCGCUUUCAGCAGGAACGAAAAUGACGGUACCUGCAGAAGAAGGAGCGGCCAACUAUGUGCCAGCAGCCGCGGUGAUACAUAGGCUUCAAGCGUUGUCCGGAUUUAUUGGGCGUAAAGAGUUCGUAGGCGGUCGAGUAAGUCGGGUGUGAAAAUUCUGGGCUCAACCCAGAGACGCCACCCGAUACUGCUUGACUUGAGUUCGAUAGGGGAGUGGGGAAUUCCUAGUGUAGCGGUGAAAUGCGCAGAUAUUAGGAGGAACACCGGUGGCGAAGGCGCCACUCUGGAUCGAUACUGACGCUGAGGAACGAAAGCAUGGGUAGCAAACAGGAUUAGAUACCCUGGUAGUCCAUGCCGUAAACGGUGGGCACUAGGUGUGGGUUUCUAUUAACGAAAUCCGNGCCGUCGCUAACGCAUUAAGUGCCCCGCCUGGGGAGUACGGUCGCGAGACGUAAACGUACGAAGAAGUAAGUACGCGUUGAGUACGUUGCGAAGGACGACGACGAGGGAGGAGG